AAUGAAUCAAAGGAAAUUUUUAGGCAGCAACUGGUCAAGGGAUAACCCGGUCAUUAGCAAAAAGUAGUUGGAUAAAUACAUCUGACUUUAGCGGUGUAAUUAGUGCAUCAGCAUAGAGCAGGAAACAUGGCUGCUGUUAACAGUGUUCGGGUUAUGGCUUUUCUUCUGUGUGGUAUGCGCUACUACGCCCUUUACGAAAGGUUUUAGAGUUUUUAAUUCGUAUAUCUCCCAUGAACCAAUUAAGAAACUGAUUUUGGUAUUGGAGUAAGGAUAUUAAAUCAUUAUUCCAAUCACAAAUUUUAGUAAAUGAAUCAGUUCAGUAUUAGUGUUAUAAUUAACUUAUGCGUCGCAUGCUCUUGUUCUGUUUUUUCUUGUGUGAAGCAACUUCCUGGAGAAUCUUAAACAUAUGUUCUUAGUUAUCACUUACCCUAUCCCACGAAUUCAAUGGCGGAUCUAGAAUUUACAUUUAAUACUGAACAAUAGAGAUGAACCAGGCAUGGACGAGUUUUGAAGCAGCUUUUGUCAGGUCAUCCUUUGGCCUUGCCUGGACUCCAGGCACACCUGAUGACCUGAACACGCUCGUUGAUGAGCCAGGCGAUGCGUAGAUGUGUCAGGCCUAUGCACUUUUACAAAUCCUUUUUGAAUCUAAAAUGAAAAAAACUGUAAUUUUCUUUAAAAUUUUGAAACCAAAUGGCUAUUUGCAGCAGUUUUUUGGCUCACAAAGCCAAGCUCGGCAGGGCAAAAAGGCCUUUCCUAUCUUUUGAGUUUUGAACAUAACGACACUUUGUUAAUAAAAUGAAAAGUUUUUGUGACGAGGCUCAAGACCUUUCAGCCAGGUCCCAAGAGCUGUUGGUCAGACCCGUGUGUGCAGGUACACAUGAACUGCAGACAGAUUUUGAUGCCUCUGAUACAACAAAGGUAGGAGGCACGUUUGAGAGGGUUAUUAAAGAAUUCUUGUAUUUCACAUCAGACUAUAAUUUUGAGUCCCAUGAAUUGCACCAGUAACAAAAUCAACUUGUAAUUAAAUUUAUAUAGUAAUGUAGUCCUAACUGAACAAAAAGACGCAACUCGGACAUUUUUGGGUACUCAUUCAUGGAACAUGUUUUUUUUAUUUUCUGAAAACAGGCAUGUUUCUAUUCGGUGUCCUAAUGUUCCCAGCAAUUGAGGCAUGUCCACUAUAUUGCUAUGAAGUAGAAUCCAUGACUUGCAACGGCACAAAAGUCAAUCCACCGCGUUGCAACUGUUGCCUGGCCGGAAAGGGCUGUACCCUUCACCUUGCCAAUGGAGUGUCAAUAUAUUGUUAACUAGUAAACGAGCUUGCUAAUGUUGUGGCUUAAGUAACAUGCCUAAAUAAUCAAAAUAUUUCUGAAGUUGUGUAGAAUCUUAUGGACUACAAUGUAUUGAAUAAGUUUGGUCAAUAAAGUCUAUUUAAGUUACAAGAAGUUUUUACUAUUCAUGUUUGCAUAAUCCUGAAAAAAAAAAUUAAAAGUACUUUUUGGAAGGUAAAUAAAGAUUUGCUCUUGAAAAAGUAUAACAUUGAACUAAGAAGUUACUUUUACAUUUUUCUAGCAAGAAAUGGUGGGGAA
rnacentral:lncRNA from 1 species